CAAGCAAACCAUAGGAUACAAAGAAAUGUUACUGCAUAAUUGAUUGGUGGUAUCUGGUAUGGUAUACAGUAUAUAAUCUUAAAACCAAAAUUGAUGUCUUGCUUGUGACUUCCUUCCAAGCUGGAGUCACCCUAAAGACAACCAAAAUGUGGUCAAGUAUACAACGUUCAUGCCACCUCUUUCUCUUAACCUUUCUUCUAGAGAAACAGAGUUUCAUAUACGAAUAUACUGCAUGUUAGAAAUUUGCAGUUGCGUGUGUAUAAAGAUUGACUUGAGCUCAAAACAAGGACGGGUCUCAGUAACGCACAGGUGCAUCGUAGACCAAAAGGCAUUACAGGAUCCACCACUGCGAAAAUGCUCUGAAGGAAGCACACGAUCCCACUAUCACGACUUGCAGAAACUUAUUCAAGUAGGGCAGUACUAUAGCUGUAUGACUUUGAUAUUUUAAUUGAAGGGAAGAGAAACGGCAGGAGUAGAGAUAAGAGUGAUACCCCACGUACCACACUCAAAACUGGCGCAUUCCAAAAAUAAAGGGAUUAAAGCCUUAAGCGCGCGGGCGUGCGCGCGCGCGCACACACACACAGAGAGAGAGAGCAGCCAAAUCACUAGUGGGUACCUAACAAACGGCAGGACGAAGACAAAGCAAUAGAGCGGUUUUUCUAUCCAUUUUCAUAAUACCAGCAUCACCAUAUUACUUUGCUUGACUAAUUUAGCACCCUACAUACACUCGGGCAAGAAACCAGGUGAGGGCAAAAAUAAAUAAAAAAAAAUAAUAGACGACCCAGCAACGCAAUUGCCUGCUUCAUUCCAGUAGUACCCCAUUCCUAUCAGCCAAAGCAACAGAUUAAGCAGGUUCCUAAGCGAUCCAGCUAAGCAGUGGCUUGUGGUGGGUAAAGCGCCAGUCCUCCCGGUCGUACGAAACAAGGGAGAAACCGAAACGGACUACUACUUUAAUUCUCUGUAUGUGAUAAUGAUCGGAAGCGCGUCAACCGGAACCGGACGCUGCGGGCAGAAAAGGACGAUUCCUGACACGCCAGGAGAGGGUGGCCGGACCGGAAGCAAGGGCAGAGCCGCGACAUUGCGGGAGGGGACGAGCGAGGCGCGGCGAUAAGCGACUCACAAUGUAAGAGAGCGCGACAUCGGGGUCGACGAAGGCGGUGUCGUCCCCGCAGGCGCAGGCCUCCCCCUCCUCGAGCUCGGCGUCGUCGCCCAUGCCGGGGCUGCUGCGCCUGCGCUGGCGCUACGCGGCCGCCGCCCGCAUCCUCCUGCCGCCGCCUAACCACCUACCUAGCAGCAGCCACCAGGCAGCACGCAGCAGCUACCGGCCCGGCGCGGACCUCCGCAGGAACGCACCCCGCGCGGGCAGAGCAGGGAGCGAGCUCGAAUCGGUGCAGCACGAGCGCCCCCCGAUCGGCGGGAUCCCUCUCUCCCCGGCCGAGCCCGGAUCGGCGAAUCGAGGCUUCCGGAUUGGGGAUCGCGAGAUUCGUAAGCGGGCCUCCUCGGCCCCUCCCAGGCUUGCCCCCCGGUCUCCCCUCUCUCUCUCUCUCUCUUCGCUGUCCUCCCCUGCCCUUGUCUGCCUCGGCCGGCUCGAGGUUUCGCACGGACGCUGGUUUCCCCUUUGGGCUGCUCCGCGUCUUUUUUUUUUUUUUUUUUGACCCUUUCCCCGCCGCUUUUCGCUUGAGGAGGAGAGCGAAGCGAAUGUCCGCUCGGCAAUGGGUGCGCGUGCGAGUGACAGGCGGGGACGCCUGACACGAGCAGAGGAUUUGGUGCGCGUGUUUCUUGCUUGGACUUGGCGUUUUCAACUGCCUCCAGCUUCUUCUGAUCUUCUCCUUUUCUUUCAUGCCUCAUCAAUACUUGACAAAACCAUUUGUCCCCCCAGCUAUGCGCUGCUGCUGGACAGGAUGGGACUCUGACGUGGCGUGUGCAAUCUCCGUGCUACCUAUAGCUUCCACUCACGGACUCCUGUUCUGAUGUCCGUUUCGUUCAAAGGAUGGAUCGUAUUCAUGGCCUGUGUUGUACUUGUUGGUCUCUUUGCUCUGCAGCACCGAGGUUGGAUAUGUAUUGGUGGAGUACUACUCGGUAUCACAGGUACCGAAGCUUGGCCACUUCUCCGCUGCAUCUAUCAGGGGUAUAUGAAGAAUGGUUUAUAUGUUAGUAAAAGCUUAAAGAGGAUUUUAUGCAUAAUUCAGUUCGUGAGCUGCUUGCAGAUGGCUUUUGUCGGUUUCAGAUAUAAUAGUUUUUAUGUUUCUGACUAAAAACAUACAACAAGUAUAUAAUAGUUUUUUUUAAUCUUUCUAUCCCAAGUAAGCUUCAGAACACUAAAGAUUCAUGUGAAUUGUUGCUUCGUAAUUUUUUCUGAAAAAAGUAGUGUUGGCUGUCGAAUCACAUUGCAUUCGCAUCAUGCUUGCAGGUCCCCUUUAUUUUGGCCUGUGUUUAUAAAUUGGAUUCUGAUGGUCCUCUGUUUAGCUUUAGCCGUCACUGACUCCUGCUCCCUCUCCCUUCGUUUACGAAUGAUGUCCUCAGGAGUCUCGCGUGCAUCACGGUGAUGUGUUGUCACCACCUGUCUGAUGCCAUUGGGCACAAGGACGACGAGAACUUGGAGAACCAGGCAACCAGCUCUGAUGAUGAGCAUCGCCAGGUUCAUCCGGAUGGUCAUCGUCGACGGAGGGCAGGAUGACGGUCGUGCACACCGUAUACCACCGACACUACGGGGAUCGGACCGGGCUGGUGGUGAGGGAGGGCGGCUCCGUCGAGGACGGCGCAGCCGCAGGCACACGUCUCUGUCCCUAGCCAGGAGCAGCAAGUCGGAGACGCUCCGGAGCCUGCAGUCCAUCUAUACGAGCUGAAGUCCGUCGUCGGCAGCGUCAGAUGGACGAGGAGCUAGUGAGGGACGAGCUGUCCGACGACCUCCUGGAGGCCAAAAGGAAUACAUCAUCGGCCACCAGGGACGAGUCUAUUUGUAAGUUAUGGGUAUUCAAAUGAAUACUGGUAUUGCAUAAAACAGUUCAUGUACAUACAAUACAUGAAGUUGGUGGUACAGGUCGCCUCUCCUCGCUUCCCUCUCCACAAAAUGGUCCCAGACCCGUGUAGAGUUGAAAGUUGUUGCGUAGAGCUGAAAGUUGUGCCGUGUCUAGGGCUGACAAUGGGCUGUAAAUUUUGUACUAUAAGAUUUAAGGAUCGAGUCGGAUUAGGAUCGGGCUUUAUUUCUAGUCAUUUUUGAACUAUAAUUUA